rnacentral:rRNA from 1 species
GUAAAUAGCGGGCGCGAUUCGCCCUUGGUUUGAUUAUGGCUCAGAAUGAACGCUGGCGGCGUGCUUAACACAUGCAAGUCGAACGAGAAAGGGAUUGCUUGCAAUCCUGAGUAGAGUGGCGCACGGGUGAGUAACACGUAGAUAAUCUACCUCCAAGCCUGGGAUAACUAUUCGAAAGGAUAGCUAAUACCGGAUGAAGUAUGCUGACACAAGUUGACCUAUGAAAGAUUGCCUCUUCCUGAAAGCAAUUGUUUGGAGAUGAGUUUGCGGACCAUUAGUUUGUUGGUAGGGUAACGGCUUACCAAGACUACGAUGGUUAGCUGGUCUGAGAGGAUGAUCAGCCACACUGGAACUGGUACACGGUCCAGACUCCUACGGGAGGCAGCAGUGAGGGAUUUUGCGCAAUGGGGGAAACCCUGACGCAGCAACGCCGCGUGAGUGAAGAAGGCCCUUGGGUCGUAAAACUCUGUCGACAGGGAAGAAAUUAUAAUUAUCCAAUAGGUGAUUAUAUUGACGGUACCUGUAGAGGAAGCACCGGCUAACUCCGUGCCAGCAGCCGCGGUAAUACGGGGGGUGCAAGCGUUAUUCGGAAUUAUUGGGCGUAAAGGGCGCGUAGGCGGUCUUGUCGGUCAGAUGUGAAAGCCCAGGGCUCAACCCUGGACGUGCAUUUGAAACAGCAAGACUUGAGUACGGGAGAGGAAAGCGGAAUUCCUGGUGUAGAGGUGAAAUUCGUAGAUAUCAGGAGGAACACCGAUGGCGAAGGCAGCUUUCUGGACCGAUACUGACGCUGAGGCGCGAAGGCGUGGGUAGCGAACAGGAUUAGAUACCCUGGUAGUCCACGCAGUAAACGAUGUUCACUAGGUGUGUCGGAUAUUAAAAUCUGAUGUGCCCAAGCUAACGCAUUAAGUGAACCGCCUGGGGAGUACGGUCGCAAGACUAAAACUCAAAGGAAUUGACGGGGGCCCGCACAAGCGGUGGAGCAUGUGGUUUAAUUCGACGCAACGCGAAGAACCUCACCUGGGUUUGACAUCCUGUGAACGUCUAGAGAUUAGACAGUGCUUCGGAGCACAGAGACAGUGCUGCAUGGCUGUCGUCAGCUCGUGUCGUGAGAUGUUUUGGGUUAGUCCAGCAACGAG